rnacentral:rRNA from 1 species
CGUCUACUCUUGGACAGCCUUCUGAAAGGAAGAUUAAUACAAGAUGGCAUCAUGAGUCCGCAUGUUCACAUGAUCAAAGGUAUUCCGGUAGACGAUGGGGAUGCGUUCCAUUAGAUAGUAGGCGGGGUAACGGCCCACCUAGUCUUCGAUGGAUAGGGGUUCUGAGAGGAAGGUCCCCCACAUUGGAACUGAGACACGGUCCAAACUCCUACGGGAGGCAGCAGUGAGGAAUAUUGGUCAAUGGGCGAGAGCCUGAACCAGCCAAGUAGCGUGAAGGAUGACUGCCCUAUGGGUUGUAAACUUCUUUUAUAAAGGAAUAAAGUCGGGUAUGCAUACCCGUUUGCAUGUACUUUAUGAAUAAGGAUCGGCUAACUCCGUGCCAGCAGCCGCGGUAAUACGGAGGAUCCGAGCGUUAUCCGGAUUUAUUGGGUUUAAAGGGAGCGUAGAUGGAUGUUUAAGUCAGUUGUGAAAGUUUGCGGCUCAACCGUAAAAUUGCAGUUGAUACUGGAUAUCUUGAGUGCAGUUGAGGCAGGCGGAAUUCGUGGUGUAGCGGUGAAAUGCUUAGAUAUCACGAAGAACUCCGAUUGCGAAGGCAGCCUGCUAAGCUGCAACUGACAUUGAGGCUCGAAAGUGUGGGUAUCAAACAGGAUUAGAUACC